CGUGGCCCAGCCCCGCGCCUCCGCCCCGGGCAGCGCGCAUUCCCCUCUUCCAGAGGGGCCUCUUUAACGGCUCCCCAUGAAAUAAUCAUUCAUUAUGUCACCAGGAGGGAAGAAAGGGAGUAUUUUGUGAAGCUGUCCCAUUCAAAGCCACCCCCAGAGGCCCGGAGGAGACCACAAAGCUGCGAACACAGCCGGGACCUGCCCACUGACACACUGAAGAGUCAACACGAUUCAGGAAAACACUUUCAAAGAGUGUUUUUUCUUGGACAGAUAACAUUCUGUUUUGUUUCUGAGAGGAAAAAAAAAAAUGGACCCUCCGCCUCACAUUUUUGAAAACACCAGCAGCAGGGCUGCCACCAAUUUGGUCAUUCGAAGAAAAGGCGGGUCUCAGGAAUAUGGAUGGCUGUCCUCCCUUUCCCCUUCAGAUGUCAGCCGCAUCUACUCCUGCUUUUGGAAAACCCCAGGGCAAACGGACCUGCCAGGCAGCCAACCAACCACCAGCCCCCUGAAAGGCUGGAACCCAGCUGCCCAAUUCGGUUGCUCCUGUCCAAAGCCAGACAGGUGGCAACCCAGAUUGAAUCUGUUGUUGUGGGAAUGAUUUGAUUCACAAACAAGGUUAUUAAAUUUUAUAUGGAGACACAGGCGAAAGUCACAAGAUCCUGGAGAGAAAGACCUGAUUCACAUAAAUUUAUCUUAAUAGCUGUGAAUUCGGGAGCAUAAAGCAGAAAAAAAAUUAAUGGAAAGGCAUUUCACCUCCUCCGUCUGCCUGCUCUCCUCCACUCCCCGGCACAUAAUAUGCCCACACACACACAUACAUCAACAACUGCCAUGACUCCAUCCAGCCUUUUGCAGGAGGAGCCCAACACAUUGAUCUGAGCCUGUUUUGACAUAUAAACUCCAAUUUGGCCCCAAGUCACUGCGAGUGGACACUGCCACCAACGGCUCUGACACUAGGUUAUUUGUUGUUGCUGUUCGCUGUCCCUGUUUGCACAUUAAUCCAGUGACAAUUAGGUGUCAGCGAGCGUUGUUUCUGCUUAGCUGAUAGCCUUGGGCUCUGCGCUUG
rnacentral:lncRNA from 1 species